ensembl:lncRNA
CUCUGUUGAAUCUAGGAGUCUGGAGAAAAAAAUCAGUGUACCCUGUAGAAGCAGUCGUGUAAUUUUGGAGGUCAGAAUUGAGGCACAGGCCGACUUCUAUUUCUGGCAAGCUAAAGUCAAACAGAGGUAAAUGUUUGUGGUGACCUUUUCCUUUACAGAAUUUAACUUUACCUAGUUAUCAGGAUCAUGGGAAUAAAAAUCCCUUGUGCAGAGUUUGAUCUCCGGUACUUUUAAAAAAAAAAUCCCUUGGGCAAAAGACAGUGUCUGUAGAAGGCAGUACUUCCUGACCUCCAGAUUUUGACAAUGUGACUCUGAAGUCAACAGUCCAAAGAUCUUUAGUCAACUUCUAGCAUUCCCAGCUCUGUGGUUCAAACAAACUAGGAGCCAUUUCUUCACUGAAAUGUGGCUAAUCCAAUAUUCCAACAUUUUAAGUUAUUUUUGGUUUAAUCAGUUUCUUUCCCUGUUGCCAGGAAUACUGAUUCUCCCUUCAAAGGUGUCCAUUACAGAAGUAAUGCUAUAAAUUGAAGUUACAAUUUGAAAUUUCUACCUUAUUCAUUACUAGUAUUUCUCAUCUUUGUAUCUGAUCAUUUGUGCUUUACAGGCACUGCUUUUGUUUUAUGGGCCCUUGUUAGCUUUUAAUGGAUGUGAAUUCUUCUGUUGUUUUCAAAGCAUACAUACUUUGAUGUCAUUUUCCUACUUUUCUAUUAAAAGGAAUUUCACCCAGGAUGAAUUCCUGCCCAAAUGUCGAUUUUAUUGGCUGUCUCCCAUGACAUUUCUUCAUGUUUUGCCACGUGAGUUGUAAUUUUUAAGGGUGAAAAUAAAAAAAAGAUCAAGGUUAGUUUGGGAGCAUCAAAAUAAUGAAGAGACCCCCGUUCAUUUUGUCUUACUUUGCUAAAGAACCAAAUUUGAGGAAGUCUACAGCAGGGUGAAGUAAAAGGAUUGUCAGAAGUUUCCUUAGAGAAGGGCAGAGAAAAAGAGGAAGCAGUGGGAGAAGAUAAGCUCUGGAAAUCCAGUCUGGUUUGUGUGAGGAAAUCACCUUUUUCAAAUGGGAAGCGGAUCAGGAGAUGGAGGGAGAGGGAGAGAGGAGGAAAGGGGAUUGAGGAAAGGAAGGAAGAUGUGUAACUGCACCAGCUCUGUACAAGGAGUGUAAACAUCAUGUGCUGCAAACAUGGAGUAAUGGAAAAACUAAAACAUCACGGAGACGCAGCUGCACAGGGAAAGUGUUACAUCCACGUAGUCCUCAUCUUGAGAGCAGUCACGUGUGAUGUAUUGUUAAUCUCGAGUGGGAGGAAACCCACAACUAAUCUCAGAAAGAGCAAAUGGGUGAACCUGCAUAGAAGAAAUAUUUCCAAAAAAAAGAAACAACGAGUUCAAAUAGCAAAGAAAAUAAGGUACUGGCACUGAAUGAAAUAUGAAUAGAUGAUGUUCUUCCAUUAAGCUUAAAGACCAGGGGUUGAGAUUUGGUGGGGGAAGAGGCUGUCUACAAGAGACACUGCACAUCAGUAAAGAAAGACAGAAAGUGAAGGACCUACAAAGAUCAAGUUUAUGCCAAUUAUAAAUGGGAAAAUGUAUGAGAAUGUGUGACACAAACAUGUAAAUAUCAAGCCACUUAACAACUAGCCAAAUACAUAGAGAAAACCAUUGGGAAUUUGAUAAAUCUUAUAAAAUAUGAUUCUGACUAAAGAUUCCAGUGCUUCUUGGCCCGAAUCAGACAGAAUGAAAGCAACCAAGGACUGAGAAAGACAAUCUUACGUCACUUAAAGAUCAACAUGCCGGCGUCCUGUACUCUGAACUUUCUGAUGCUGAUACCGUCUUGAUUUCUUAAUCUUUCCAGAACACUUCAUCUAAGGGUUAACGUAUCUACAUCACUACCCCUGUGGGAAGACAACCAUGACAUGAUGCAUUCAGUUCCACAGAGGUUAAAAUGUAGGAAACAAGGGAUUAUUUUAGAAUCAAAGUUAUGGCUUUUUUUUAUGUGUCAAUAAAAUAUUUGCACAAGAAUGUCAUAUACUUGACUACAAAGUAUGAAUUGUGAUAAAAGUCUAUUUUAAUAAAUAAAUAAAAGUCUGUUUAAAGAAGAAAUCUGAUCAACAAAAUCUCAAAGUCUUGAAAGACUCAAAGGUUAAGAAAGACAUUCCUGGAUGACCCUUAUGUCAAAGAUAAAAUUGAAAAACUAAACAUUUUAGAAAAGAAUGAACUGAAGAACAAUUUUCACCAAGUCUUAUAGAACAGAGAACUUUUCAGUGAAACUUCUAGCCUUUAAAUGCUUUCAUUAUUAAGAACAAAAGAAAGAUUAAAAGUAAAGGGAUUCAGAAUUUAUCUGUAAAAAUUAAAUCAAGGACCACAAAUAAACCGAUGUCAGCAGAAGAGUCAAUAAAGAAAGUUCAACAUAUUAGUCAAGAUACAUAGAGAAACAGAAUAUUAAAUAUAAUGUAGGACUUCAGUCUGAGGUCAGUGGAAAACCUUUAAAAAGUUUGAAAUCCUAAGAGUUACAUAACGAAUGUAGACGUUUCUGGCAACAUAAAAAUUAAAAUUAGAUUUAACAAAAUCAACACAAAAGCAACAGACAGGAAAUAAAUCAUCAUUUUAUAUAAAUGACAGACACAUGGUCAGUGUGUAAAAUAUGCAAUAAUUCUUAAAUGACAAAAUGGAAGGGCACACAAAGAGAAAAAACUUCAGCAAGGCAAAUAAAAUUGAACAAGAACAUUUGAAAAAAUGUUCAAACACACUAGCAGCCAAGAGAAAACAAAUGAAAUAGCAGUAACUCUUUGACUGAUUGAUUGACUUAUUAUUUUUAUUGUUUUGAGAAGAGUCUUGCGCUAUAGUUCAGGCUGGCCUUGAACUCAUAGUGAUCCUCCUGCCUCAGCCUCCCUAGGAUUACAGGCAUGUGCCACCACACCCAGCCUUCAAUUUAUGAGAUUAAUAAAAAUUGAGACAUAACACUUGUCUUAGCAGAGGGUAAAGAUUUACAAUAAGCACUAAAAAUGAAGAUUUUAGAAAAUAUUUUCAAAUUACCCGUAUACCUAUCUAGAAAUGCAGUUAAACUCUACUAAAAUAUUUUGGCUUAAACAAUGGACUUGAUAUUAGGUAAGCCAUGACAGUAACAAGUUG